AAGCAACACUCUGUGGCAGAUGAUUGAAAAUGUCUGACACAAUUUGAGCUUGCUAUAGCAAGAAAGUCUAACCUAUUCCGGUGUUCUCUUCUCCGUGAGACGAGCCGUUAUAUAGACUCAAACAGU
rfam:Equus caballus chromosome 24, whole genome shotgun sequence.